rnacentral:rRNA from 1 species
AACGAACGCUGGCGGCAUGCCUAACACAUGCAAGUCGAACGAGACCUUCGGGUCUAUUGGCGCACGGGUGCGUAACGCGUGGGAACCUGCCCUUAGGUUCGGAAUAACUCCCCGAAAGGGGUGCUAAUACCGGAUAAUGUCUUCGGACCAAAGAUUUAUCGCCUUUGGAUGGGCCCGCGUUGGAUUAGCUAGUUGGUAGGGUAAAAGCCUACCAAGGCGACGAUCCAUAGCUGGUCUGAGAGGAUGAUCAGCCACACUGGGACUGAGACACGGCCCAGACUCCUACGGGAGGCAGCAGUGGGGAAUAUUGGAAAAUGGGCGAAAGCCUGAUCCAGCAAUGCCGCGUGAGUGAUGAAGGCCUUAGGGUUGUAAAGCUCUUUUACCCGGGAUGAUAAUGACAGUACCGGGAGAAUAAGCUCCGGCUAACUCCGUG